rnacentral:rRNA from 1 species
CGAUGCGUAGGGGUUCUGAGAGGAAGGUCCCCCACACUGGUACUGAGACACGGACCAGACUCCUACGGGAGGCAGCAGUGAGGAAUAUUGGUCAAUGGGAGAGAUCCUGAACCAGCCAAGCCGCGUGAGGGAAGACGGCCCUAUGGGUUGUAAACCUCUUUUGUCGGAGAACAAAACCCGGGACGUGUCCCGGACUGCGUGUAUCCGAAGAAAAAGCAUCGGCUAACUCCGUGCCAGCAGCCGCGGUAAUACGGAGGAUGCGAGCGUUAUCCGGAUUUAUUGGGUUUAAAGGGUGCGUAGGCGGUCUGUUAAGUCAGCGGUAAAAUUGCGGGGCUCAACCCCGUCGAGCCGUUGAAACUGGCAGACUUGAGUUGGCGAGAAGUACGCGGAAUGCGCGGUGUAGCGGUGAAAUGCAUAGAUAUCGCGCAGAACUCCGAUUGCGAAGGCAGCGUACCGGCGCCAGACUGACGCUGAGGCACGAAAGCGUGGGGAUCGAACAGGAUUAGAUACCCUGGUAGUCCACGCAGUAAACGAUGAAUGCUGGUUGUCCGGGUCGAAUGAGACCUGG